AGAGACACCUUUGGCUGGCUGGGUGUUGCAGCUGGGAACUGAACCAGUCCAGGCUUGUAGAAACUCAGUUUACCUCAGGUGGAAGGGCUUCAGGCUAAGGUGAAGAGGAAGCCCAUGGGUUUGCUCCCGUACUCACUGUAGGGAGUGCAUGUUGUCGGCAAUUUGGGCAUGUGUCCACAAUCACUUUCAACACAUGUGAAGGUCCGCCCGAAAUGAACGGGUGACAAAUGAUUUUUGGGUGCAAAAAUAACCAACAAAGGCACAAGGGUUUUGCAGUAACAAAUCAACAAGAUGCAAUUUAUUGAUGAUAACUACAGCUAAAUAUGCGUUAGGUUAGAGGAUCCGGGGAAGAGAAGGGUAGGACAAGGGAAAAAGGGAGGAAAGAACGUUAGGGAAUGGGGUAUAGCUACCAAGACGUGAUGUCUUCGGGGUCCUGCCGCCGAUGCUCGCUGGUACACGUCUUUGGGAGAUCUCAGAGAGGCAGUCGAACCAAACCCCAGAUAUACUGUUCUUGGUUGGGGGAAGGGUGGCCAAAAUUAGGUUUCCAUGGAGGGGAAAAGGACAGAUUAUUCCAUUGUUUUCAUGGCCGAAUGCUCCCAGGUACGUUUACUCUGGGCAGGUUCUCCCCCUUCCUUGAGUUGGGAGGGGGUACAGUCCCAGUCUCUGGAAGGAGGUGGCCAGGGGGAUGCCAUGGGGAUGCCAAUAGGGUGCCAGUAGGGUGCCAGAGGGGUUCUUGGUUCUUUGAUGAGCGGAUUCGCAUCUCUGUGGGUCCGUCAUGGUGAUUGAAGACAGGCAAGAGGGGUCUUCUUGGAGGGGAGGGGAGCCACCCCAGAGCUCAGUCCAGCCAGGCCUGAAGUUUUGGAAGAAAGUCCAGUUCCAUUGUUCAGAACAGGGCAGCAUGCCCCUUCGAGUACAGCAUGGCAUGUUCUGCAGACACCAUCUGUAAACACACUAAAUACGCAUGAGACUUUCUUUCCCAACUGGCUCAACAUUUUUUAACCCUUCGGCGGUCCUUUUCUCAUGACAAUUGUGAGGCAAAAACUGAAGGAUUUCCGGAUGGACUU